rnacentral:misc_RNA from 1 species
GGGUGAACCUCUAAUGCACCUGUUCAAAUUUUGACUGCAUCUUCUUCUAAAGACUAUAAAAUCAAAUCCUAUCCCAUUACAAAACCUGUUUCGUUAAUAAAUAAACAACUAGCGAGGAUGGAACAUUUUGAAUUUAAAAAUUGCAAUCAUCCCCCACCCGAAAAAAGAAAAAAGCAAAAAGCUCCCAUUCUGAGAAAGAAGAAAAAGACGACUUCCAUAAACUCAUCCACCCAUUCUUCAAAAAAGCAUAAGUCACAAGAAGAACCUUGCUAUCAGAAACACACUUACAACAAGUUCGCCAAAUCCAGGG